CGUUAAGUUGCAGGGUAUAGACCCGAAACCGGUGAUCUAGCCAUGGGCAGGUUGAAGGUUGGGUAACACUAACUGGAGGACCGAACCGACUAAUGUUGAAAAAUUAGCGGAUGACUUGUGGCUGGGGUGAAAGGCCAAUCAAACCGGGAGAUAGCUGGUUCUCCCCGAAAGCUAUUUAGGUAGCGCCUCGUGAAUUCAUCUCCGGGGGGUAGAGCACUGUUUCGGCAAGGGGGGUCAUCCCGACUUACCAACCCGAUGGCAAACUGCGAAUACCGGAGAAUGUUAUCACGGGAGACACACGGCGGGGUGCUAACGUCCGUCGUGAAGAGGGAAACAACCCCAGACCGCCAGCUAAGGUCCCAAAGUCAUGGUUAAGUGGGAAACGAUGUGGGAAGGCCCAGACAGCCAGGAUGUUGGCUUAGAAGCAGCCAUCAUUUAAAGAAAGCGUAAUAGCUCACUGGUCGAGUUCGGCCUGCGCGGAAGAUGUAACGGGGCUAAACCAUGCACCGAAGCUGCGGCAGCGACGCUUAUGCGUUGUUGGGUAGGGGAGCGUUCUGUAAGCCUGUGAAGGUGUACUGUGAGGUAUGCUGGAGGUAUCAGAAGUGCGAAUGCUGACAUAAGUAACGAUAAAGCGGGUGAAAAGCCCGCUCGCCGGAAGACCAAGGGUUCCUGUCCAACGUUAAUCGGGGCAGGGUGAGUCGACCCCUAAGGCGAGGCCGAAAGGCGUAGUCGAUGGGAAACAGGUUAAUAUUCCUGUACUUGGUGUUACUGCGAAGGGGGACGGAGAAGGCUAUGUUGGCCGGGCGACGGUUGUCCCGGUUUAAGCGUGUAGGCUGGUUUUCCAGGCAAAUCCGGAAAAUCAAGGCUGAGGCGUGAUGACGAGGCACUACGGUGCUGAAGCAACAAAUGCCCUGCUUCCAGGAAAAGCCUCUAAGCAUCAGGUAACAUCAAAUCGUACCCCAAACCGACACAGGUGGUCAGGUAGAGAAUACCAAGGCGCUUGAGAGAACUCGGGUGAAGGAACUAGGCAAAAUGGUGCCGUAACUUCGGGAGAAGGCACGCUGAUAUGUAGGUGAAGCGACUUGCUCGUGGAGCUGAAAUCAGUCGAAGAUACCAGCUGGCUGCAACUGUUUAUUAAAAACACAGCACUGUGCAAACACGAAAGUGGACGUAUACGGUGUGACGCCUGCCCGGUGCCGGAAGGUUAAUUGAUGGGGUCAGCGCAAGCGAAGCUCUUGAUCGAAGCCCGGUAAACGGCGGCCGUAACUAUAACGGUCCUAAGGUAGCGAAAUUCCUUGUCGGGUAAGUUCCGACCUGCACGAAUGGCGUAAUGAUGGCCAGGCUGUCUCCACCCGAGACUCAGUGAAAUUGAACUCGCUGUGAAGAUGCAGUGUACCCGCGGCAAGACGGAAAGACCCCGUGAACCUUUACUAUAGCUUGACACUGAACAUUGAGCCUUGAUGUGUAGGAUAGGUGGGAGGCUUUGAAGUGUGGACGCCAGUCUGCAUGGAGCCGACCUUGAAAUACCACCCUUUAAUGUUUGAUGUUCUAACGUGGACCCGUAAUCCGGGUUGCGGACAGUGUCUGGUGGGUAGUUUGACUGGGGCGGUCUCCUCCUAAAGAGUAACGGAGGAGCACGAAGGUUGGCUAAUCCUGGUCGGACAUCAGGAGGUUAGUGCAAUGGCAUAAGCCAGCUUGACUGCGAGCGUGACGGCGCGAGCAGGUGCGAAAGCAGGUCAUAGUGAUCCGGUGGUUCUGAAUGGAAGGGCCAUCGCUCAACGGAUAAAAGGUACUCCGGGGAUAACAGGCUGAUACCGCCCAAGAGUUCAUAUCGACGGCGGUGUUUGGCACCUCGAUGUCGGCUCAUCACAUCCUGGGGCUGAAGUAGGUCCCAAGGGUAUGGCUGUUCGCCAUUUAAAGUGGUACGCGAGCUGGGUUUAGAACGUCGUGAGACAGUUCGGUCCCUAUCUGCCGUGGGCGCUGGAGAACUGAGGGGGGCUGCUCCUAGUACGAGAGGACCGGAGUGGACGCAUCACUGGUGUUCGGGUUGUCAUGCCAAUGGCACUGCCCGGUAGCUAAAUGCGGAAGAGAUAAGUGCUGAAAGCAUCUAAGCACGAAACUUGCCCCGAGAUGAGUUCUCCCUGACUCCUUGAGAGUCCUGAAGGAACGUUGAAGACGACGACGUUGAUAGGCCGGGUGUGUAAGCGCAGCGAUGCGUUGAGCUAACCGGUACUAAUGAACCGUGAGGCUUAACCUU
rnacentral:rRNA from 1 species